rnacentral:rRNA from 1 species
GACGAACGCUGGCGGCGUGCUUAACACAUGCAAGUCGAACGGAAAGGCCCUGCUUUUGUGGGGUGCUCGAGUGGCGAACGGGUGAGUAACACGUGAGUAACCUGCCCUUGACUUUGGGAUAACUUCAGGAAACUGGGGCUAAUACCGGAUAGGAUCUCCUGCUGCAUGGUGGGGGUUGGAAAGUUUCGGCGGUUGGGGAUGGACUCGCGGCUUAUCAGCUUGUUGGUGGGGUAGUGGAUUACCAAGGCUUUGACGGGUAGCCGGCCUGAGAGGGUGACCGGCCACAUUGGGACUGAGAUACGGCCCAGACUCCUACGGGAGGCAGCAGUGGGGAAUAUUGCACAAUGGGCGGAAGCCUGAUGCAGCAACGCCGCGUGCGGGAUGACGGCCUUCGGGUUGUAAACCGCUUUCGCCUGUGACGAAGCGUGAGUGACGGUAAUGGGUAAAGAAGCACCGGCUAACUACGUG